rnacentral:rRNA from 1 species
CUGCUGCCUUCCGUAGGAGUCUGGGCCGUGUCUCAGUCCCAAUGUGGCCGUUCACCCUCUCAGGCCGGCUACUGAUCGUUGCCUUGGUGGGCUUUUACCUCACCAACUAGCUAAUCAGACGCGGAACCAUCGUAUACCACCGGAGUUUUUAACACUGCUUCAUGCGAAGCUGUGCGCUUAUGCGGUAUUAGCACCUAUUUCUAAGUGUUAUCCCCCACGUAUACGGCAGGUUUUCCACGCGUUACUCACCCGUCCGCCA